CCGUCCGGAUUUGUGAAGUUAAGCAGCCACAGGCUUAGUUAGUACUGAGGUCAGUGAUGACUCGGGAACCCUGAGUGCCGUACCCUCCACAACACUC
rnacentral:rRNA from 1 species